GCCUGUGCAAAACAGGGGGUGCAGGCCUAGUUUAUAUGCAUGCUGGAAAAGGAGGACAUGAUAGAGUCCAAAUGCAUGGGCUUCAGUUGCCAAAGCCCAAUGUUGAACAAGUUCUUUUCAGCCAGGGGGUGCAGCAAAGUAAAUGGAGUGAGAUAGUACUGCAUUGGACUUGGAAUGUGACAAGCCCAAACAGAAAUAAGCCCAUAGAUUGGGGACUGGCUUGGGAAAAGCCAACAGAAAUUUGAAUAUGCAUUCG
rnacentral:lncRNA from 1 species